AACGAACGCUGGCGGCAUGCCUAACACAUGCGAGUCGAACGAGACCUUCGGGUCUAGUGGCGCACGGGUGCGUAACGCGUGGGAACCUGCCCUCAGGUUCGGAAUAACUCCCCGAAAGGGGUGCUAAUACCGGAUAAUGUCUUCGGACCAAAGAUUUAUCGCCUUUGGAUGGGCCCGCGUUGGAUUAGCUAGUUGGUAGGGUAAAAGCCUACCAAGGCGACGAUCCAUAGCUGGUCUGAGAGGAUGAUCAGCCACACUGGGACUGAGACACGGCCCAGACUCCUACGGGAGGCAGCAGUGGGGAAUAUUGGACAAUGGGCGAAAGCCUGAUCCAGCAAUGCCGCGUGAGUGAUGAAGGCCUUAGGGUUGUAAAGCUCUUUUACCCGGGAUGAUAAUGACAGUACCGGGAGAAUAAGCUCCGGCUAACUCCGUG
rnacentral:rRNA from 1 species